AGUGAACGCUGGCGGUAGGCCUAACACAUGCAAGUCGAACGGCAGCACAGGAGAGCUUGCUCUCUAGGUGGCGAGUGGCGGGCGGGUGAGGAAUACAUCGGAAUCUGCCCAGUCGUGGGGGAUAACGUAGGGAAACUUACGCUAAUACCGCAUACGACCUUCGGGUGAAAGAGGGGGAUCGCAAGACCUCUCGCGAUUGGAUGAGCCGAUGUCGGAUUAGCUAGUUAGCGGGGUAAUGGCCCACCAAGGCGACGAUCCGUAGCUGGUCUGAGAGGAUGAUCAGCCACACUGGAACUGAGACACGGUCCAGACUCCUACGGGAGGCAGCAGUGGGGAAUAUUGGACAAUGGGCGCAAGCCUGAUCCAGCCAUACCGCGUGGGUGAAGAAGGCCUUCGGGUUGUAAAGCCCUUUUGUUGGGAAAGAAAUCUUUCAGGCUAAUACCCUGAGGAUGACGGUACCCAAAGAAUAAGCACCGGCUAACUUCGUG
rnacentral:rRNA from 1 species